rnacentral:hammerhead_ribozyme from 1 species
GCACUGUUGAUGAGUCCCAAACAAGACGAAACAGCUGUCCAGUGC